rnacentral:lncRNA from 1 species
GACGUAGAGUCGAUAGUACUUGAGGACAAAUUUGAGCAUACAGGGGUGAAAAGACCACCGCAGGCGGGUACCUCUGACCCUCAGUUUCCCCGGCUAGGGGUGUUAACUCUCCCGGCCCGCCUCCCGGACGGAGCAUGCGUCCCGUUCCAGCUGGAACCGGUUUGGCGGGGCGGCCCGAGGGGCGGAGCCCCCAGUGCUCAGGCGUGCGCGUGCCGACGUGUGCGCGCGCUCCCUCUCACAGUCAGCCGGCCUGGGCGUGGGCUGGACCGCGCGCCCCGCGCGCUUGCGCACGGGCCACGUGCCGAGCGGGCUGUGCGCGCUCCCGCCCGCCCCGGGAGUCCCGGGGGACGCGCGCGCGCGGCUGACGCGGGGGGCGGGACGGGGCGGGGCCGGCGCGGGGCUUUAACCCGGAGGCCCCGCCCCUCGGGCGUACAAAACCGGAGCCUCGGGCCGGGCCGCGUGAGGGAGGAGGGUGAGUGCCCGCCGCUGGCCGCAGCUGCCGCCAGCCCGUCCGUCACUCCGUCCGUCUGUCCGGUCCACGUCGUCGCCGCCGCCGCCUCCUCAGCCCGGACGCCCGGGGCCCGCCCAGCGUCGCCCGGAGCCGCGGCGGCCCCGCGAGGAAACGGGCGCCGCCCCCGCCCGGCCCUGCCCCCUCCCUCCUCCCCGUCUGUCCGUCCGUCCGUCCGCCCGCCCGCUUGCGCUUCCGUGCCCUGUGCGGCCGCAGGCCCUCGGCCGGUCUCCCCGCCCCGCCCGCUUUGUCUCUCCCCGGCUCGCUGUCUCUUUGUCUCUGCCCUCGCGGUGCCGCGGCCCCUCCCUCGCCCCGUCUCGGGGCCCCCUCGGCGCUCCUCGUCCGUCACAGCAGCCCUGUCUCAGCGCCCCGUUCUUUGGACUGCCCCUCGGAGCGCCCCACGUCUUUGGGGUCUCUCCUUCAGAACACCCUCCGCACUCUCCCGGGGCUCUUCUCGGAGCUCCCGCACAUCCCUUGGGGGUCCUCCCUGCCGUCUGUACCCCCAAAUCCCCGGGGUCUUGCCUCCUCUUCGCCCGUAUUUCCUCGAGAUUUCCCCCUCUUUUGGUGUUCCCCGUGUACGCUGGGACUUCCGAGAUCCCUUGGGGUCUCUCCUUAGGACCCCCAAAAGCUCCCCCGCUCCCUGA